rnacentral:lncRNA from 1 species
CAUUUGCUUAUGAUAAAUUAUUCAAGAUACAUAGGAUAGCAAGGAAAUUAAACAGCUGAGAAUUAAUACAGAAACGAAACAUUAGGAGAUCAAGCCUAGUUGAGAAGCAGAAAUCACAAGAACCCCUCUAAGAAAAUGGAGGAAAGACGAUUUAGAUCGAUCUUAAGAUAAGCCCCCGGCCCCGGGUGGUGGUGGUGAUGGUGGUGCGGCUUGACUGUACAAUGUGUUGUGAUCAGGAGCGCCUGGAUAUCCCCCACCUACGGGAAUAUCCCUCUUCUCAAACGCGCGUAAUCCGAUUCUUGAAUGCUCCAUUUUAUUGACAUAUCGGACGGCAUAGCAAGUUCUUGCACCGGGUCCAAAAGCUCCGAAAAACAGCAUAAUAGCUAACAAUAUGUAAGAAAGAACCUUCAUUGUUAUGUGGCGAUGGAUGGAUAGAGAGGGUGUAUGCUGUGA